CUAUAUCCAGGAGGCAGGCUCUAUCAUUGGUCUUCUUUCAAAAUAGUUUGUGAGCGCUAUCUUGGUGUAGUGCCUCAUUGAGAGGUGGUGGGAUACUAUCCACACCUUUCAUAUUGCUGAGUGGGAGAUGACGAUGACUCCGUUCGACUUUUACCGUAUGACCGGUCUUAGCUUCGAAGGGUCCAUCAUCAAUUUGGAUGGUGCGUUGAGUAUUCAGCUGGGUCUCGACAUGUUGGGGAGGAAAUACUCCACUGAGACCAUCCACUACUUUGAAUUGGUGUAGGAUUACUUGUUCCUUCCAUAGAGGACCAUGGAGGAGUGUGUCUGUAUGGCUAGGGCUUUCCUUCUCCACUUGUUGGGGGCUUAUCUUUUUACCAAUGGUGGGAAACGGUGUCGUUGAGGUGGUUGACCCUCUUUCAGGACUUUGGAAAGGCACAAAGGCCUAACUGGGGGCAGGCAUGUCUUGCCUAUCUCUACUCCACUUUUGAUGCUCUCAGCCAGGGCACCUUGCGACAACUGGUGGGGCCUUGGAAGCUCCUUGAGCAGUAGGUUGUUAGGUAUGGUCUUAUAACUCCAUGCACCGACCUAGUUCUGAAGGAUUUUCCUCAAGUGAGGGCCCACCUUGCGAGGUUAACUUCUGAUAAGGUAAACUAGGCCCCAUGGGUUAGCCAUCCCCUUCCUGCUACUCAAGACUUGGAGCUUGCCGCUCUAAUUGCUUUAGAGAUUACCUGACCCCUCGAAGGAGUACGCUUGAUGGCGUUAUAUUUGGCGGAGAGGGUGAGGUGCUAGUUAGUGGGUAAGGAUGACCUACAGAUUCUGAUGGACCCUUCUAAGUUCAUGCUUGCCCCACACUACAUGACUGAUGCCGAGUACAACAAGUGGGGGAGUGGCGUCCUAUGUUGAGUGACUUUUUGAGGGGUUGGACUAUGAGGAGUUCAACAUCACUUGCCUUAUGCCUUCCCUUACUGUUUAAGGGGGACCUACUACCGAUGAGCCCAUUAAUCCUCCACACCUCCUUUGGACAGUCUAUGCUUGUGGUCCUGAUGGCUUUACUCAAAAGCGUGCCGUGCCCCGUAAUCCUAAUGUCAUGGGCUAUCCUUUCCUUCCCAACACUUGAGCGAUGGGUUCUUUUUUCCCUUUGUCCUUUCUCUUUUUGCCAAAUUUCUCUUUUUGUCUCAGUCACUAUUCCUUCCUUCUUGAACUACAACCCACUAUCCAAGACCAUGAGGAGUUGGUGUGGCUAGCCAAGAAUCUCAAGUUGGAGGCGACCAACUACUUGAGGGAGCUAUACGGUCCUAGAGGAGUGGCCCACCCAGGCGGUGGUGAUGAUGAUGAUGAUGACGACGAUGAUGGUGGUGAGGAGGAGGACUCGGAGGCAACUCCUAGCUACCAACCAAGGAAGAGGUGACACUGUUGAUUUCCUGUAGUCACAACACAUAUAGACAUACAAAAUACAGCUUUUUUCUUCUUCUUUUUUGCUUUUAGUAUUUUUCUUUCCCUUUUAGCAACAUUUAAAUUCAGUUUGAGACAAAGGAUUGUAUUAAGAACAUCUUUUUACAUUUAUGCUUUUGAUUGGGAACUUAGCACUUAACU